rnacentral:rRNA from 1 species
AAAACAUCGCCUCCUGCAAUGCAAUCAAGUAUAGGAGGUCCAGCCUGCCCAGUGACCGCAAGUUCAACGGCCGCGGUAUUUUGACCGUGCAAAGGUAGCGCAAUCACUUGUCUUUUAAAUAGAGACCUGUAUGAAUGGCUAAACGAGGGCUUAACUGUCUCCCUUUUCAGGUCAGUGAAAUUGAUCUACCCGUGCAGAAGCGGGUAUAACAAUACAAGACGAGAAGACCCUUUGGAGCUUAAGGUACAAAACUCAACCACGUCAAGCAACUUAAUAAAAAGUAAAAACUUUGUGAGGCAUGAGAUUUUACCUUCGGUUGGGGCGACCACGGAGGAAAAAAGAGCCUCCAAGUGGACCGGGACAAACUCCUAAAACCAAGAGAGACAUCUCUAAGCCACAGAACAUCUGACCAAACAUGAUCCGGCCACCAGGACCGAUCAACGAACCAAGUUACCCUAGGGAUAACAGCGCAAUCCCCUCCCAGAGUCCAUAUCGACGAGGGGGUUUACGACCUCGAUGUUGGAUCAGGACAUCCUAAUGGUGCAGCCGCUAUUAAGGGUUCGUUUGUUCAACGAUUAAAGUCCUACGUGA